UUAUUACUCCCUCCGUCCGGAAAUACUUGUCAUCAAAAUGGAUAAAAGGAGAUGUAUCUAGAUGUAUUUUAGUUCUAGAUACAUCUCUUUUUGUCCAUUUUGAUGACAAGUAUUUUCGGACGGAGGGAGUAUAUG
rfam:Triticum urartu cultivar G1812 contig551551, whole genome shotgun sequence.